rnacentral:misc_RNA from 1 species
GAAUUCAAGAGAGUUGAUGCUGGCGGUCUUGUGGCUGCAUGUGCUCGCUCUCCUAAUCCAAUUUACACCUGUGCACUUAACUUUGAAGGGAGGGUAAAACCUGCCUUCGAAAUCUUUAAACUCUUAUAUAACGAAUGUUUAUCUGCCGCAAGGCAAAAUUUAAUACAACUUUUAACAACGGAUCUCUUGGCUCU